GCCUGGGUGGCUUAGUGGUUAAGCAUCUGCCUUUGACUCAGGGCCUGAUCCCAGGGUUGGGGAUCAAGUCCCACAUCAGGCU
rfam:Canis lupus familiaris chromosome 30, whole genome shotgun sequence.